rnacentral:rRNA from 1 species
UACGAAGGGUGCAAGCGUUACUCGGAAUUACUGGGCGUAAAGCGUGCGUAGGUGGUUUGUUAAGUCUGUUGUGAAAGCCCCGGGCUCAACCUGGGAAUGGCAAUGGAUACUGGCAGGCUAGAGUGCGGUAGAGGGUAGUGGAAUUCCCGGUGUAGCGGUGAAAUGCGUAGAGGUCGGGAGGAACACCAGUGGCGAAGGCGGCUACCUGGACCAGCACUGACACUGAGGCACGAAAGCGUGGGGAGCAAACAGG